GUUAACCCUGCUCCAACUCCGGCGAUGGGGAGAAGAGGGGGAGGGGGAGCGCGGGGAUGGGCGACGUCGUCGUCAACGACGAAGACUUUAAUGACGAGGACUUCCUCGACGAGCUCUUUCGCGCCACGGACAACGCCGUCGCCUCCCGCAACCCUAACCCCACUACCGCUCCCACUUCCAUCUCCAUCUCGCACCUCCCCGCCGCUUCCGCCUCCGCCUCCGCCUCGCUCCGCUUCACCCCUCCGCGGGAGCUCACCCAGCGCAUUUAUGUUCUAUUCCUGACGCUUUUGAUCUUAACCACUGCAGAGGGAGCUGAGCCGUGUCAACAAGCAAGUUAACAAUUUGAAAAAUGAAUGCACCGAGCUGAGAAAGGACAGAACAAAGAAAGAUAUUCAAAUCAAGGCUAAAGAAGUGGAGAUUCAAAAUCUGAAAAAAGCAAAUGUCAGCUUUGCCAAUCAAGAUGUUUGCGGUGCGGGGAUGGAUAUUGAUCAGUCCUUUCAUGCCCCUGCAAAUGGGGCUUUGCAUGCUGAUGGUCCUUCUUGGGCAUCCUCCAGGCGAACAGACAAGACAAAUGGCAAAGAUAAUGAUGCCAAUUCCUUGCAAGUUGAUCUGUAUUUGAAGCGCGGGGAUCAAACUUAUUUAACUGAGGCCAUGGAACUGAGGCGACGCACCAUGAUCGAUAAGGGUGAGAUUUUGAGCUAUUUUGUGGCUGAUACUUUUUUUCUUAUCCUCCCUCUUUGAAUCUUAUUGGCAAUUCAACUUGAUGAACAGGGAUAAGUACAUCUGGAGUAUUGUCACUGGAGGAAAAUACCCAUUUUGAACCAAGAAGCAUUAUGUGCAAGGAAAUUAAGGAGAUAGGAGUCCAGACAGAUAGUACAUCUGAAAGUGGACAUCUUGAGUGCAAGAAAAUAUCGGCUGAGCGUAUCUCUAGCAAUCUACGUGCAAUCUGGGGCAUGGCAACUAACAGUUUAUCAAGGAGGAAUCUGAUAUCAAAGAUCAUUGUUUCUUGUUCCGAAGAAAUUUUGUCACUUCUCCAAUGUACCAGAUUGACGGACAACUGUCAAACUUCUUCUGAAGCAAGCUCCUCCAUGAAUGAAGCUAUUUCCCAAGUAUAUGACAUGUUUGUUAAGAUGAAUAAUGAGAAUAUACCAAUACAGGCUUUCCUUGAAGCAUUGCUAAAUCUCUGUGCUUUUGAUAAUGCUGCUAUAGUCAGUAGAACUUUGAGGAUAUUGCUCAGUAUAUUGCAACACUUGCUGAAUUAUGGAACCAAGACUAGUGAAAGUGUACCCUCAGGACCAAUGUUUCUGUUGAACCAUAUGUUAACAUACACAUGGAGGACAAUCACAAAGACAGUUCUGCUUUGCUGAGCCCUCUGGAUGCAGAAAAUCUAUUGAGACAGCAUAAUAUGUCUCUUCCUUUUGCUUUCUGGAGUUCAGUCUUCACUGUAAUGCUUCAAAUUGUGGUCAAGUACUCAGAAGAAACAAUUCGAACUGAUGCAUUGUCCGUAAUGAUUCUCAUUUUAAGAACAACAGAUCCCAAAGAGGAACGCCACAGAUUUGGAUUUACUUCUAUAAUGACAAGAUUGCAUCUGCUAUUGCAGAAAGAAAACGGAUUGCUUGUAAAGAAGCAUUCUGUGCGUCUACUUUUCUUGCUUUUGAAUUGCCCAGUGAUGUUGAAGUUGCUGUGUAGUGGAGGCAAAGAUGGCUCUGAACAGAUGGAAUCAGAAGGAUGUGGAAAUGAUGGGUUGAAAUUGCUGUGUAGUGGAGGCAAAGAUGGUUCUAAACAGAUGGAGUCAGAAGGGUGUGAAAAUGAUAGAUCACAAGUCAUAAGCUCAGUUCUAGUGGAUUUGUCUGAGUGUUUGUCAUGUGAGGCAACUUGUUCUCUGGUAUGCUACUUAACUCAAGUUUUUGAGGCCGUAAAUCUGCAUUUAGAAAUAUUUAGCUAGAUUCUAUUCUGUGAUAUUGAAACCCUUACUAAACCAGUGAUUGUUUUUCACCUGCCAUUAAUAAAGAAGCAUUGCAUAGUGCACCUAAGGGUCUAUCUAGAGAUGAUUCAGAUUCAGCAUAGUUUCAUAACUUGUGCCACUUCACUUCACUUCCAUAGCCAAACAACUAAGAUUGUAUUUUUCAGGAAAUUGAGCUUUGCCGGCUUGUUAUCGUUCUGUUAGCGUAUAUAGCUUCCAGCGGCAAAUUGGGAUAUGAAGUGCUUUUAGGUCCUGUGAGUGCCCGUGGUGCCAGUUUCUUGGAGCUGGUAAUGCAAGUCCUUGCAUCGCAAAUGCAAUAUGAAACACAGGAGUUGCAGAGAGAAAGAUGUCUGCUGAUGAGAGAGGCUCUUAUCCUUCUGAACCGUCUGGCAUCCCAUGCAAACUUUUCAAAACCAACUUUGGAGGUGCUGACGAGCAGUAAGCUUUGUGCAACCUUGACAAUUGAUGUCGCGAACCGCUUACCCCAGACCCGGAUGGCAAAUGACCUUGCUGAGCUGGCCCAGAAGUUCAGGUCGCGAGUGUAUGCUUUCCUGGAAGAGAAACCCUUGGCAAUUGAUUGUCCCAAUCCAGGAGGAACGAAAUUCAUCAGUUGACUGCUCCACCCCCAAUUAGCUGGGUGAUAGUAACACGGAAAGUAAGGUGUUUGGGGUUUAUUGCUAGCUGGUCGAGAAGUUUAUUUCAUUUUUAUUUUUGUUACUAACCCUAGGAUCUAAGUAUUUCUGGGUUGGGUUGAGUUGGAUUGGCUUGGCUGGGGCGAGUGGAUAGCUUUUGGCUGGUGGUGUACAGAGGAGGCAGCUUCCUCGCCAUUUUGGGGAGAGAAAAUGUAACAGUACUACAGCACGGCAAAUGCCUGCGGAAAUGUAUACCAGAUUCAUUCUGGAAUCUGGACAUCAUACGGCAUUGGCCAUUGCAGCA